ensembl:snRNA U6 U6 spliceosomal RNA
GUGCUUUACUUUAAUAACUUGACUCGACAGCACAUAUACUAAAGUUGGAAGGAUACAGAGAAGAUUAGCAUGGCCCCUGCACAAGGAUGACAUGCAAAAUUGUGAAGCAUUCCAUAUUUUU